AAUCAACGCUGGCGGCGUGCCUAACACAUGCAAGUCGAACGCGAAAGCCCCGCAAGGGGUAAGUAGAGUGGCAAACGGGUGAGUAACACGUGGGUGACCUGCCUUCGAGUGGGGGAUAACGUCCCGAAAGGGACGCUAAUACCGCAUGACAUCCUGCUUUUGAAAAAGCGGAGAUCAAAGCUGGGGAUCGCAAGACCUAGCGCUUGAAGAGGGGCCCGCGCCUGAUUAGCUAGUUGGUGAGGUAACGGCCCACCAAGGCGACGAUCAGUAUCCGGCCUGAGAGGGCGGACGGACACACUGGGACUGAGACAAGGCCCAGACUCCUACGGGAGGCAGCAGUGGGGAAUUGUUCGCAAUGGGCGCAAGCCUGACGACGCAACGCCGCGUGGAGGACGAAGAUCUUCGGGUCGUAAACUCCUGUCGAGCGGGACGAACGCUUCGCGGAUGAAUAAUCCGCGGAAUUGACGGUACCGCUAAAGGAAGCCCCGGCUAACUCCGU
rnacentral:rRNA from 1 species